GUUUCAAGGCCUUCAUUUGUACCCUUUUGGGGAGUAACAGCAAUUGAGAAGCGUGUUCCACUUUCCAUGGUGAUUGAUAUCAUCAUUGAACAAGGUUGCUUACAGUCUGUUUAUGGAAUUCAUACAUUUAGAGUUGAAAGUAUAGCAAGUGGAAAAGCGGCACCAGUAGAUGAGCUACAAAUUCAAGGUGUUGAUAACCCUGCACUUCUAAGGAAGGUCAUAAUAACUGAAGCUGCAAAGAAUAUGCAAGAUGUUGGAAAAGGCUGGAAACCUGCUACUUACACAGGGGAAGGGGAGAGUAUGUCUAGAACAGUAUCAUUGAGUGAGGGACCAGCUGUUUUUAAAUCACCCACCAAAAGCUGGAAGAUGACAGCUUCUCCACUCUAUGCAUCUAUGGAGCCUAGAAGUGCAGUACCUAGUGAAGUGUUGCUAAAUAAGCUUGAAGAAGUCAGUAAAUCAGUAAAGAAAAUUGAGUUGCUAAUUGAGAAUUCCCAGACUGCCCCGGAAAGCAGCCAGAACUAAAUCAAUAUCCAAGGUCUUUCAAGAAUCCAAUCAUCAAGGUAGAAGCAAGUCUGGUUACAAAAGUAACCAAAGAAGUAGUUCCGUGGAGCCCUCAGGGAAAAAUUGCGGUAACCAGCUAACAAGUAGGGCUGCUUGCUUCAUGGAUUAAUGCAUAGAAUGCAAUUAGGAUUUUUGUUUCCCUAAAACUUUUUAAACCUGGGGUAUCGAUUGGCUUUUCUUUUCGUUGAAGACAAUUUUCAUAUGUAUUCUUCUUACAGUUUUGAUGUUGUAGAGAAUUCUACCAUGGGAAUCUUGCUAACUUGCAUUUUUUU
rnacentral:misc_RNA from 1 species